UAAAAGAUCGCAGCCGCAAGCAACGAUUACUUCUGUCAUUCCGAUUCGCCGCCAUAUGGGUAAAACGAGAAUUAGUUACAGCGUUUCUCACAUCCGUUCGCCGUCCGCACUUGCACCACUGUUCGUGUUGCUUCGCGGGUGAAAAAAGGUGCCACCGGUGCUGCUGCAGUGACGGAAAAAUCUCACCGCAAAAUCGUGGUCGCCAUACAGUCGGAAAUUUGUAAGCCGCGUAGUGAUAGUGGAACUUCACCAAAAGAUUGCCUUCGUAGUGGCAUCGUAGCGACGGACAAAAGCGCAAAAUCUUAGAACCCCGCGUCGGGACACUGACGGGUUGUUCGUGGAGCCACGUAUUAGUCAAAAACGGGCCCGUUGGAGGAAUAAAACCCGAUAUUCGUCUCGUGUCGGGAGAUUGCAGUUCGAGAAUUUCGGGAAAGUACUUGCAAAAGCACAAUUCGCAAGGAAACACGCCGGAGGAGCGUGGGAAUUGCCGACUGAAAGCAAACAUUCCGCAGUGCGAUCCUGGGAGUCAACGAAUCCAACGGAAUCAGUUGACUCGGUCGAGACGAUACCGGAUUGGUGCGGAAAAUCACGAAGAAAG